rnacentral:lncRNA from 1 species
UGGGAAGUAUUAUUUGAAUUUAUUUAUUCCUUUUUUAAAAAAAAAUAUUUCUUUUUGUCAAAAUUCAAAGCCAAGCAGAUGUAGCCGGUGUGAAACAUCAGAUGACUUCUGUAGGAGCUUAUGGCUGGAAACAGCCCCGUAUUGUUUGUGCGUCUACUGCCUAUAUGUACGUGGGAAAGAGCAUUUUUCUUUUAUUAUUCCAUUUUCUCCCAAGAGAUUUGGCAGCCAGAGUCUCGCGUUCUGUCUUUCACUGUACGGCUGCAGCAACCAGAGAAGGAACCUGCAAGUUCAAAAAUUCAUUAUGAUGAAAAGCAGCAGGGUGGGUGUGUAGGUGGAAGUGCGAAAUGUCUGCAUCUCAAAGAGGGAAUCUCAUGGAUUCUCACAUACCUCCAGCAGCAGAUCCGCAUCCAGCAGCAAUGUAAAGCUGUGCACCGUCUGCCAGGAUGAGGCUCCCUGACCUGCUGUUUGUAUCCUGUGGUUCCUUCUUCUGCCGUCACUAUCAAACCCCAACUCAACUGAAGCGUGGCCUCGGCGCACAUUCAGCGAGCAACAGCGUCACCUGCCGGCCAAGGGGCGGAAGGCUGCGGCGGAACAUCUGCAGGUGUCAGAGAUGACAGAGGAGCUCCGUCAGGCUGCAGUUAUGUACAGUUUGUCAGAUCUGCUGUGUGUCAGUUGGAUCCCAGCAGGAUCUUCUCCCAGGAUGAGGCAGGGAGAGGAGGAGGAAGAGGAGGAGUAGGAAGGGCAUCUUCAGCUCAGUCGGCUCAAGUCAUAAACACCGACUUGUUGAACUACUGGACCUGAGCUCAGGAGGACCCCCCCCCCCCCCCCCCCCCCAACACACACACACACACACACACACACAAACUCAUACAUACACUGGAUGUUCAUCACACAACACACCAAGGUUUGAUCCAAAACACAGAUUAUGCUGCCAUAAUGCCAUGACCUUUAAUCUCCCUCUCUAUGUUUUGUAUUACACACAUGUUUGGAAUGAUUUAUCCAGUAACAUAUAUAUUACAUAUGUUACAAACAUAUAUAUUACAAACAUAACAUUAUUUGUUGAAUGGCAUGUAGAAAGCUGUCCAUUUAAUCAAUGAAAUCAGUCACUGAUGGAAGCUAAUGGGUUGGAAAGCUGCCUCCUAAAAAUCAUGACAUUUUAUCCUAAAUGUUAUAGCACUUUUUAUGCUCUGAAA